rnacentral:pre_miRNA from 1 species
AAUUCAUGAUGGAGCACGCGAGUGGGGCGAGAGACUUAAUAAUAAUAAUAAUUAUUAUUAUUAUUAAGUCUCUCGCCCCACUCGCGUGCUCCAUCA